rnacentral:misc_RNA from 1 species
UCUCUAUUGCAAAUUGUUCAGUGGAAAAGUGGCUACUUCCGUUUUAAUUGCCGAAGAGCUUGAUUGUAUUUUUCUUGUGUGGAAUAGAGUUGGAAAAAAGUGAUAACGUUAUUAAAGUGAAGUUAAUAAUUUGUGGAUUGAUCUAACAGGCCUAAGAAAAGAAUACUACAAAACACACCCAGGCAAUUAUGGUCGGCUCAAGAGUUUACGUCGGUGGAUUGCCGUAUGGAGUUCGUGAAAGAGAUUUGGAGCGGUUUUUUAAAGGUUAUGGACGAACGCGAGAUAUAUUGUUAAAAAAUGGAUAUGGCUUCGUGGAAUUCGAAGAUUACAGAGAUGCGGAUGAUGCAGUGUAUGAGUUAAAUGGGAAAGAAUUGUUAGGAGAAAGAGUUGUUGUCGAACCUGCAAGAGGUACAGCUCGUGGUGGUCAUAGAGACCGGUAUGACGAUCGAUAUGGUGGGCGCCGCGGUGGUGGUGGUCGUUAUAAUGACAAAUCAUCCUCCCGUUAUGGACCGCCGUUACGAACAGAGUACCGUCUAAUUGUGGAGAAUUUAUCGAGCCGCGUUAGUUGGCAGAAAUGCCACUAAUGGGUUGACUGACAGAUCAUCACCUUGGUUGAAAGAUGAAGCUAAGAGUCUUUAUUUGAGAAGAAUUAUUGUGAACUGUUUAUGAGUACAAGUGCAAUUAACCCGCUUGGCUUGGCUGGCUGCUCACUUGAAAACUCAUGCGACCUCCCUGAUUUUAAGGCGGGAAAGGCGGCCAUUGCAGUGUGAAAGAUAUAUAAGGACUCAUCCUAAUUGCAAUCACUUACAAUACCAAUUGUUAAAAGAGACUAAACUCGGACAUGAAGGCACAUGAACAAAAAUGCCAUUCUUGGAGGUAGAUUGUUAACAUUCAUCCGGUUCCUGAGAUGGUCAUGAUGUUUCUUUAAUGCGACCGAAUGCAAAAACGAAUUUGGGAAUAAUUCGCUUCUAAUAAAUUUUUUGGGCUUCGAGCAAGGAAAAAUAAACAACCACAUCCACCACUUAAAAAAUGUUUAGCCAGGACGUUGGAGCACUCACAGAGAUAGGGUUAAAAACAUCUUUAAUAUAAAAAUAACGGUAGAAGAAUCGUGACAGAUGUCAGAGCAACCUAAUGAAGGCACAUGAGCUGAAGAAGCGGACAAGAAACGCAAUUAUUCGAUAUAUCAUUUUCUGCCUUUGUAAUUAUAUAGUUCGAUGUCUGGUGCAUAUGAAAUUUUUAAAUGUACAAACUGAAAGCGCUGGUUUUUUAAAAUUAGGUACAUAUAUUAAGAAAGUAAAAUGUAUUAAAAAUCAUUUAAUUUUAGAAUUGUCGAAUUCCUUAUAGCGUAUAGCGAUUGCAAAAUAAUCACAGAGUGUCGUACCAACGUAGAGCCUGUCGGACAAACCUUCCGAACGAUUGCGAUUACGAAUGGUGUGCGAGUGGUGCCAUAGAGCUUCUAAUGCUCCUAAUGACGCUUCUGACGGCUUCAGUAAACGUGCUUCCCAGGCUUUCAUAUGCUCUGACUAUGGCUAUUAAAUCUGUUCCUUGUCCAAAAAUUAGCGACGUGCAAAAGAUGUCCUAUAACUGGUCUACUGCUUAGGUGGUACUUAAUGUAGAACAUCGAUGUCGUCGACUGAACCGUAUCUAACCGGCCUACCAAUAGUUCUUUCUGGUGAUGAGGGACCGUAGAAAAUAUCAGCAAACCAACAGUCAAACCUAGAUGCGAUGUUGAUGGGUGGUGGCAGUCAAGAGAGUGCAUCAUCAUACCUCCAUUCUGGAGGUCUGAACUCAUUUCCCUUUAUUUACAGUAGAAGAAACAUUAUUUCCGAAAAGGCAUAACUGGUUUCCGAUGUCUUAUGGCGGCCCUAAUCUAAGCCACUUAUAGAUUGGGUUCUCUUGUUCGCAUGUGCAACAACGCAACGAGGCACACUUAUAAAAAUUGCUACCGGAAGUCCUUUUUUAUAGCGAGUAUACACUUGAGUGACGUACCUAUGUGCUUGCAGAGUCUGUGUUCAGAUGCUUCUCUUCAAGAAGUAAUAAUGAUUCGACCAAACCGUUAUCGUCCGCAUAGUCACACUAGAGUUAUCUUUGCGACCCACAAUGUCUACGUGAGAUAAGCGUGCGAAAUUUCACAAAAGAUGGUAGACGAGGUGCAUAUAUUUACGUAUUCGUUGGAUGUAACUAAUUAUGCGACUUAACUUGAGCAUUUGAAUAGUGCCAAUUUGCCGAGAUUUUAUACACUUGAAAAAAUUUCGAACACACAUCUGAGGGUCCUAUGCGCCACAUACCAUAUGCAACCGCUGCCUACGUUGAUCACGCUUUAUAUUGAGGUCACAAAUACAUUUGAUAUACAGUGAAAGUAUUACUGACAAAAAGCGACUUUGUUGAUGUGAUAUUAAGAUCUGAAAGAUUACAUGCGACAGGCAGGAGAAGUUACCUAUGCUGAUGCACAUAAACAACGCCGCAAUGAAGGCGUUGUGGAGUUUGCCUCAUUGUCGGACAUGAAGACUGCAAUUGAAAAACUGGAUGAUACAGAGUUGAAUGGACGUCGUAUAACUUUAGUUGAAGAUCGUCGCGGAGGUCGUGGUGGUGGAGGGCGUGGAAGGUCUCGUUCUUCGAGUUCACGUUCACGAUCCCGUUCUCGCAGACGUUCACGCUCCAGGUCCCGCCGUUCAUCAAGGUCGCGCUCCAAAUCUCGUAGUCGCUCCAAGUCACGUGGUGCACGAUCAAAGUCUAAGUCACCAGUGAAAUCACGUUCGAGAUCUCGUUCUAACAAAUCUCGUGAAAUAUCCAAGUCUAAAUCUAAAUCGAGGUCCCGCUCACAUUCACGCUCUCCUAAGCGUGAUUCACGUUCCCGUUCGAGGUCAGUGUCAAAGCGUGAAUCUCGUUCUCGCUCUCGAUCUAAAUCACGACGAGAUUCCAGAUCACGCGACCGUUCCGCCUCGCCAGACAACAAAUCGCGCUCCCGUUCGCGGUCUGUGUCACCGAAAAAUGGAAAUGCCUCACCUGACAGAAAUGAGAGUAUGGACGAUUAGACAUACUAUUAACAUUUUCAACCAAACACUACUAUUAUUACUACCACUUAAUCCGACAGCUCCCCCAAAAUUUUUACUAAACUUUUCAGCUAUGAAUAUUUAACGUUUAUGUAUGAAAUUAUGUACUAUAUAUGUAGUUUGCCACAUAAAAAUAAAAUAAAUAGUAAUUAUAAUUUAUAAUUUGGUUUAUUCAAAUACUGACGAGUGAAGUUCUGAAAAAUAAAAUAAUUUUACCAUUUGGUUCUUAAUUGUAAUAUGAAAAAAUGCAAGCAAACUAAUUUUACUAUAUACGUAUGUAUGUGAGAUAUUCCUGCAUUGAAAUAUUUGAUAUUAUAAUUUUAUAAUUAUUUAAUUUGGAGACCAUUAUUAUGAGUUUAUAAAAUGUACGCAUUCCUCAUUUUUGUAAGAUUAAUGCCAUAAAGAUAAGCCAAUUGGCGGCAACAAAUAAACGUUAAUACCACACAA